UACGUAGGGUGCGAGCGUUGUCCGGAAUUAUUGGGCGUAAAGGGCUCGUAGGCGGUUUGUCGCGUCGGGAGUGAAAACCCAGGGCUUAACCCUGGGCUGGCUUCCGAUACGGGCAGACUAGAGGUAUGCAGGGGAGAACGGAAUUCCUGGUGUAGCGGUGAAAUGCGUAGAUAUCUGGAGGAACACCGGUGGCGAAGGCGGCAUCCUGGACCGGUAUUGACGCUGAGGCGCGAAAGCCAGGGGAGCAAACGGG
rnacentral:rRNA from 1 species